GGGAAUAUUGCACAAUGGGGGAAACCCUGAUGCAGCGACGCCGCGUGAGCGAAGAAGUAUCUCGGUAUGUAAAGCUCUAUCAGCAGGGAAGAAAAAAAUGACGGUACCUGACUAAGAAGCCCCGGCUAACUACGUGCCAGCAGCCGCGGUAAUACGUAGGGGGCAAGCGUUAUCCGGAUUUACUGGGUGUAAAGGGAGCGUAGACGGCUAUGCAAGUCUGAAGUGAAAGGCAUGGGCUUAACCCGUGGACUGCUUUGGAAACUGUAAAGCUAGAGUGCAGGAGAGGUAAGUGGAAUUCCUAGUGUAGCGGUGAAAUGCGUAGAUAUUAGGAGGAACACCAGUGGCGAAGGCGGCUUACUGGACUGUAACUGACGUUGAGGCUCGAAAGCGUGGGGAGCAAACAGG
rnacentral:rRNA from 1 species